CUAAAUGUUUAUUCACGAGCAGGUAAAUUCAUGUCAACAACAUUGACACUAAUUUAUGAAACUUAUCCCCUCACUUAGGAGAUGUUGAAGACAUUCUGAGGAUCAAGGUAACACGUAAAUGUAUGAAUUUGUAUUUCACUUAUUUAAGAUGUUCGAAGUACUUUAUAUGUCAUAUAUGUUUAAGCGUCCAUAUAUAUGGGUAUUUUAAAAUAAAGCUUUUGAGGAAAUAAUUCUUGUAUACAUGUAACUGAUAUAUUGAAACACCAAACAAGAGUAUUAAAAAAUCUAAUCUUAUUAUAUAGUAUGCAGAUGGGUCUUUCUUUAACACGAGACUCAUCAGAGGACCUCGAAGCAAAACAUUUGUCAAAUAACGAAGAGAAAUUGAAUGUCACCAUAAUGUUGUUUUAACAAAGACAUUUAAGAUAACUCCGACUUUAUCUUACAAUGCUAUGUUUUUUUUUCAUUUACACAAUAAGAGUUAUAAAUUGAAAAUUGAAAUAGAGGCUUGUUUAAAAAAACACUGGUAUAAGUUUUAUUCUAGUUAGUGUUUGAUUUAAAUAUAGCGUUUUACGUUCUUCACUGAAACAAAAUUUAUAAUAGAUAGGGUUGCUGAAGGUUAAACUAUCUAGAAGUUUUUUAAAAGUAAGAUUUUUUUUUAACAAAAAAAUAUAAUAUCUACAUUUCUUAACUAUGAAUGUUGUCUUUCAUUUCUUUAAUGAGCAUCAGUUACGCACAUAAUUGUUUCAGUAAGAUAACACAACAUUCGAUAUAGACAUUAAUGUUUUAUUUUUAAACGAAAUACAGCGUAAAUGCAUACAUAAUAUACAUAACAUUUCAAUACACAGAUACACGUAUAAAAACUUAUAGUAAUAGCAAUACUGGUGUUAAAUUUAUUGCAUCAUAUACGCAUUUCGACCACAAAUGUUUCUUCAGUAAUGGUCGAGUCAAAAUUGUUUUAAAAUAGUAAACUAAUUUAAAGAUAGUGAAUAAUAUUGACAUGCAAUAAUAAAAGAACAGUUCCGGAGCAGGAUUUGCUUAUAAAUACCGAAGUUUUUUUUAGCAGAACAGAUAUAUUUCCCUUUAUUGUUCAUUUCUGUUAUCAAUUGCCGAUAUAAUAAUUAACAAAGUUUUAAAGCUGAACGAUUUUUCCACUUAUAUUUUUAUAUCCCACUAUGGGACAUUAUGUUUUUCUGUCUGUGCGUUCGUUCGUUCGACCGUCCAUUCGUUUGUUCGUUCUUCCACCCGUCUUUCCCGCUGUAGGUUAAAUAUUUUGGUCAAGACAGUUUUUGAUGAAGUUGACGUCCAAUCAGUUUGAAACUGAGUUCACAUGUUCCCCUUGAUUUGAUUUUUUUUAAAGUAAUGCCAAAUUAGAGUUUUGAUCUCAAUUUCACGUGCAACUAAACAUCUAAAUGAUAAUGCGAGUGGGUAUCCAAUUACAAUGGACGCAUUCUUGUUAUACAUCUUUCACGUAAAUAUUUGUACGUCAUAUAUUCUAAAAUAAAACUCAUCAUUAAUCAAUAUACCUUACACAAUAUAAAAUAUCUUUCAUGUCUCUUUCAUUAUAGAAGCGACCUUUCUCAACAUGCCAACAAUAAACAUGGUUGCUAUAUUUACAAAUUUGAUAAUCGUUUAAAGAUAUUAUUAACAGCUAUACUUUGCCAUAAUGUAAUUCAUGAAGGUCUCACAUAUAUUUGAUGUGUCUCAAAAAAGAUAUUACUUUAUUUACAAAGGUAUACGUAAGCCCCUGUUUAAUCCCACUGAGAAAUUUAUCUUCACUAUAUGAGGUUUGGUAAAACCAAAUAAUAUUAUAAACAGAUCUUUACUACAAAUCUGGCAUUUUACAAGCCAUAUUCAGUUCAUUGGGUGACUUUUUACAAAUAUUUGAACCAGUAUUGAUCAUUCUGUAUUAUCGUUCAAUUAACAAAGGAAAUCUUCAUACUUCUAAGUAAACCACGUUAUUAAUUAUAGAUUGUCAAAUAAAUUUCAAAAUAUUAAACGCACCUUUCGAAUAUCGUCUCCUUUGUAUGCUUCUCAUAUUCAUAGUAAUAAAUUAAAAUACACGACACGUAUUAUCAAUAUGAUUCAUAGUAAGUUAUGAUAAGCAUUUUUAACUUUACUUUACAUUUAAACCUUCCUUGUUUGGCCUUGAUUUGACACCUUCUUUGAUGUUUGCAAACAUUGUCAUUUAUACAAAUAGUCUUCUUUAUAAAAUAAAAUUAUCACUCAUUUUAAUUUUAAUUCCUUUCAUUAACCAUUUUCGUAAUUUUCAAUGUAAUCUCAUUGAUAAAAAAACCUACACAUUUUGAUUUUUAAUUUUGCUAGGUAUUAUAUAAAGUUCCUGUGGACGACCAUCCUGUAGACGACAAUCCCCCUUCUAGAUAACAAAGUAAAAGGUAACUAAACAAUUAUGAUAAAUCAAAUAAUUUAAAAAAAAAGUCAAACAGAUUUUAAAAUCAUAAGAUUCAAGUUCUUAAACUUUAAUCAAUUUUUCAUUUCUUGUGUGACAAAUAAGUAUUAACAUUUAUACAUUUAGAUACAUUUGUUGUAAACACAUUUUUGACUUGGACUUCACGUGUGUAAUUGCAUAAGUCAUAUCUUCUUUGACUGUCCAUGACGUUAACUACUUAAUCCCUGGUAUGUGCGUAUUGUUAUGCGUUUACUUUUCUACAUUGGCUAGAGGUAUAGGGGGCGGGUUGAGAUCUCAUUAACAUGUUUAACCCCGCCGCAUUUUUGCGCCUGUCCCAAGUCAGAAGCCUCUGGCCUUUGUUAGUCUUGUAUUAUUUUAACUUUAGUUUCUUGUGUACAAUUUGGAAAUUAGUAUGGCGUUCAUUAUCACUGAACUGGUAUAUAUUUGUUUAGGGGCCAGCUGAAGGAAGCCUCCAGGUGCGGGAAUUUCUCGCUACAUUGAAGACCUGUUGGUGACCUUCUGCUGUUGUUUUUUCUAUGGUCGGGUUGUUGUCUCUUUGACACAUCCCAAUUUCUAUUCUCAAUUUUAGUUGAUUUUAGACUCUGAUGCAUGAUUUUUUAUUAAUAAUUGUUUUUAUAUCUUAACUAGCUUUCAGUAAAUGCGAGUUGCUCUGAAAUCGUACUUUCACUUUUAAUUGACCUGUUGAUACAAUUUGUAAUGCUUUUAUUUUAUUUCAUGUUUACUUAUUUAAAUUAAUAUCUCGUCUCUCUAUUUCUAGCAUAUACCAGCUUUGAUAAUUGUCUGGAAUGAAUAUAAAUUUUUACUCCUGAUCUCGUUCUAUGAACAAUAAAAUUAUAUAUUUUGUAAAAAAUAUUUCCGUUCUCAAUUACUGUACAACAUUAUUUUCCUUUAUCUGUGUACAUUAUUCUAUUUGGCGGCCUUUUCUUCGAGGUUUACAUUGUUAUAUGGCGGGUGUUUGUGCAAGGUUACGGUUGACCUGAAAUUAUUAAUUCUCUCACCCCUUAUCUUAUUUUAUUGAUUUUGUAUUUAACAUUGUGUCAUAGAUUAAAUUUAAUCGUUCCGUGUAUAUCACUUGUCUGUUUUCAUAUGUCUUUUAAAUGAGUUUAGCCAUUUCGAUUGAUAUUCUAGAGUUUGUCUUUCUAUGUUGUGAUGCUACAUCAUUGUUUCAGGUAAGGGUGAAUAAACGAUUCAUCUUUAUUAAAUUGUACAAAUAUGUUAUUGCUAUCUAGACAAAUAAACACAUCGAAGGAUGCCAGACAUUUCCAAACUUUAAACAGAUCAUAUACUUAGUGUUUUUAGUAGCUCCCAAAAAAAAAACGUAAUCCGUUUUGCAAAAUCCUUUUAAUAAAUGGUAACACCGGCUAAACAUAAAAUGAUUGGUAUAAUCAUACACAUAAAAAAAUAAGUAUUAUGUUUGCCAUAAAAACAACUCAUAGUCAGCUAAAAAAAAUGACAUAAUGCUUUUUACAAACGUACGCCUGUUGUGACAUGUAACUAUAAUUCCCUGUUGAUCAGUUUCAUCCUUGUUUUCUUCUUGAAUGUUUUUGUUUUUGUUUGUUUCAUUUAAAAAGUUAUCCUUGCUUAUCAUUCUUUUCACAGUGCUCUUUUGAUUUAGAAACAAAAAUCGUCAAUUGAUAAGAUGUUGAGAGCACGGCAGAGCAGCUAUGUUAUCAAUAACGUUGAUGUAGGUAAAACAGACCUUGGGAAUACUGUAGGCUACGAGGAAUGCCUUGAUUAUGUAGAAAAGGACGAUUAUGAUCAAAUACCGGCAGAUAGAGAUACAAUAAAUCAUGAUUACCUCGUUUUGACUUCAACAGUGAAGGAGGAGAUGAAACAAACAAACAACAUGGUUCAUCAUCAAAACAAACAAUCAGACAGCGAGGUUCAUCAAACGAAGCAGUCUUUAUUGAGGCC
rnacentral:lncRNA from 1 species